AUCGAACGCUGGCGGCAGGCUUAACACAUGCAAGUCGGACGAGUGGCGGUCGCGUGAGUAAUGGCUACGCAACUGCCCGCUGGAUGGUGAUGACUGCUGGAAACGGUAGCUGAUACCGCAUACCGUCGUUUCUUCGCAGAUGGGUUGAGCUACGUGGUGGGGUAAAGGCUCACCUAGGCGACGAUCCCUAGCUGGUCUGGGAGGAUGACGAGCCAAACUGGAACGGGAACACGGUCCAGACUCCUACGGAAGGAAGCAGUGGGGAACAUUGGACAUUGGGCGAAAGCCUGAUGCAGCAAGCCGGCGUGUAGGAGGAAGGCCUUAGAGUUGUAAAGUACGUUCAGAGGGGAGGCGGUACUUGCAGAGGAAGCACCGGCUAACUACGUGCCAGCCGCCGCGGUAAUUC
rnacentral:rRNA from 1 species